rnacentral:rRNA from 1 species
CAGCAGCCGCGGGAAUACGAAGGGGGCUAGCGUUGCUCGGAAUGACUGGGCGUAAAGGGCGCGUAGGCGGCAUACACAGUCAGAUGUGAAAUUCCUGGGCUUAACCUGGGGGCUGCAUUUGAUACGUGUAGGCUAGAGUGGGGAAGAGGGUUGUGGAAUUCCCAGUGUAGAGGUGAAAUUCGUAGAUAUUGGGAAGAACACCGGUGGCGAAGGCGGCAACCUGGUCCUUGACUGACGCUGAGGCGCGAAAGCGUGGGGAGCAAACAGGAUUAGAUACCCCAGUAGUCCCUGUCUCUUAUAC